CUACGAAUAUCCCAAUGAGGCCUAUCAUGCUGGCUCUGGAAUUCCAGAUUUCAGCAGUUUUAGUGAAUCCAAGAAACGGGGCUUCAAAUUUCGGCUGUACUUUUGGCAAUUCAACCUUCAAAACAGAAAUGAAAAGGUGAAACAGAAUUGGGAAAAGUCCAGUGGUUUGAAGAGGAUAGUCAGCUUACUCCAGCCGGAGGCUUUGCGGCCUGAACCCUAAAAGGGGCACGAGCCCUUCUGUUAUUGGCACGGACAGACCCAACUUGGAAGAGACAGAGUCGGCCGUCUUGACGGUCACAGAUCGGAGCUCUGGCCGGAAGAAGAGAAGACGAUAAAAUCGUAGCGGAGGACGCCAUUACUUGGUAAUGCCCCAAACACAACGACAACCACAACCACAACCACGGCUUCGGUACAAUCGCAAUCUGUUGACCAACUGUGUUGAUGGAUGGGUUAUAUUCAACGGCCACCAGACAGAAGAGACUGAGCAUCGGAAGAAUGGGCGAAACCCCUCACAAAGGAAGAAGUAGAAUAUGCGAG